CCUACGGGAGGCAGCAGUGAGGAAUAUUGGUCAAUGGCCGGAAGGCUGAACCAGCCAUGCCGCGUGAAGGUCAGUGCCCUAUGGGCGUUAAACUUCUUUUGUGCGGGAGCAAUAAUGGUCACGUGUGGCCAGACGAGAGUACCGUACGAAUAAGCAUCGGCUAACUCCGUGCAAGCAGCGGCGGUAAUACGGGGGAUGCAAGCGUGAUCCGGAUUUAUUGGGUGUAAGGGGUGCGUAGGCUGUGAGGUAAGUCAGCGGUGAAAUGCCCCCGCUCAACGGGGUGAAGUGCCAUUGAUACUGCCUUGCUGGAAUGCGAAUGCCGUGGGAGGAAUGUGUGGUGUAGCGGUGAAAUGCAUAGAUAUCACACAGAACACCGAUUGCGAAGGCAUCUCACGAAUCCGCGAUUGACGCUGAUGCACGAAAGCGUGGGUAUCAAACAGGAUUAGAUACCCGGGUAGUC
rnacentral:rRNA from 1 species